CCUACGGGCGACAGCAGUGAGGAAUAUUGGUCAAUGGGCGUAAGUCUGAACCAGCCAAGUCGCGUGAGGGAUGAAGGCUCUAUGGAUUGUAAACCUCUUUUAUAAGGGAAUAAAGCGCGGGACGUGUCCCGUUUUGUAUGUACCUUAUGAAUAAGGAUCGGCUAACUCCGUGCCAGCAGCCGCGGUAAUACGGAGGAUCCGAGCGUUAUCCGGAUUUAUUGGGUUUAAAGGGUGCGUAGGCGGCCUGUUAAGUCAGCGGUGAAAGUCUGUGGCUCAACCAUAGAAUUGCCGUUGAUACUGGGAGACUUGAGUAUAUUUGAGGUAGGCGGAAUGCGUGGUGUAGCGGUGAAAUGCUUAGAGAUCACACAGAACCCCGAUUGCGAAGGCAGCCUACCAAGCCAUGACUGACGCUGAUGCACGAAAGCGUGGGUAUCAAACAGGAUUAGAUACCCGUGUAGUC
rnacentral:rRNA from 1 species